GUUAGGAUGGCAGAGACUGGCAAUUGCAUAAAACUUAAGAUUUUAUAAUCAGAGGUUCAACUCCUCUUCCUAACA
rnacentral:tRNA from 2 species